rnacentral:rRNA from 1 species
CUCAUGAGUGGGCGCAGCCUGAGCAGCAAUGCCGCGUGAGGGAAGACGGCCUUCGGGUUGUAAACCUCUUUCGUUGGGAAGAAGGGUGGACGGUUAAUAGCCGGCUCACUUGACGGUACCUUCAGAAGAAGCUCCGGCUAACUACGUGCCAGCAGCCGCGGUAAUACGUAGGGAGCAAGCGUUGUCCGGAAUCAUUGGGCGUAAAGCGCGUGUAGGCGGUUACAUAAGUCUGUUGUGAAAGUCGGAGGCUCAACCUUCGAAAGCCGAUGGAUACUGUGUGACUUGAGUACGGAAGAGGAGAGUGGAAUUCCUGGUGUAGCGGUGAAAUGCGCAGAUAUCAGGAGGAACACCAACGGCGAAGGCAGCUCUCUGGGACGUUACUGACGCUGAGACGCGA